rnacentral:rRNA from 1 species
AUUGAACGCUGGCGGCAGGCCUAACACAUGCAAGUCGAGCGGAUGAAGGGAGCUUGCUCCUGGAUUCAGCGGCGGACGGGUGAGUAAUGCCUAGGAAUCUGCCUGGUAGUGGGGGAUAACGUCCGGAAACGGGCGCUAAUACCGCAUAUGUCCUGAGGGAGAAAGUGGGGGAUCUUCGGACCUCACGCUAUCAGAUGAGCCUAGGUCGGAUUAGCUAGUUGGUGGGGUAAAGGCCUACCAAGGCGACGAUCCGUAACUGGUCUGAGAGGAUGAUCAGUCACACUGGAACUGAGACACGGUCCAGACUCCUACGGGAGGCAGCAGUGGGGAAUAUUGGACAAUGGGCGAAAGCCUGAUCCAGCCAUGCCGCGUGUGUGAAGAAGGUCUUCGGAUUGUAAAGCACUUUAAGUUGGGAGGAAGGGCAGUAAGUUAAUACCUUGCUGUUUUGACGUUACCAACAGAAUAAGCACCGGCUAACUUCGU